AUUGAACGCUGGCGGCAGGCCUAACACAUGCAAGUCGAGCGGAGCGGCGGACGCGUGAGUAAUGCCUAGGAAUCUGCCUGGGAGUGGGGGAUAAGGUCCGGAAACGGGCACUAAUACCGCAUACUAUCAGAUGAGCCUAGGUCGGAUUAGCUAGUUGGUGUGGUAAAGGCCUACCAAGGCGACGAUCCGUAACUGGUCUGAGAGGAUGAGCAGCCACACUUGAACUGAGACACGGUCCAGACUCCUACGGGAGGCAGCAGUGGGGAAUCUUCGACAAUGGACGAAAGCCUGAACGAGCAACGCCGCGUGAGUGAAGAAGGUUUUCGGAUUGUAAAGCACUUUAAGUUGGGAGGCGUUACCAACAGAAUAAGCACCGGCUAACUUCGUGCCAGCAGCCGCGGUAAUUC
rnacentral:rRNA from 1 species